rnacentral:pre_miRNA from 1 species
AUCACCUGGGGAAUCUUGUUAAAAUGCAGAUCCUGACUCAGUAGAUCUGGGUGCAGACUGAGAUUCUGUCUUUCUAACAAGCUCUCAGGUGAUGCUAA